rfam:Schistosoma mattheei strain Denwood, Zambia genome assembly, scaffold: SMTD_scaffold0001545
AUCCAGCUGACGACUCCCAAAUACUACGAAACGCGCGUCCUGGAU